rnacentral:rRNA from 1 species
CCUACGGGGUGCAGCAGUAGGGAAUUUUCGUCAAUGGGCGCAAGCCUGAACGAGCAAUGUCGCGUGAACGAGGAAGGUCUUCGGAUCGUAAAGUUCUGUUGAAGGGGAAAAAGAGCGGAGAGAGGAAAUGAACUCCGAUUGAUAUUACCCUUCGAGGAAGUCACGGCUACCUACGUGCCAGCAGCCGCGGUAAUACGUGGGUGUCGAGCGUUAUCCGGAUUGAUUGGGCGUAAAGGGUGCGUAGGCGGCCUGCUAAGUCUGGAGUGAAAGGUACCGGCUCAACCGGUACAGGCUCUGGAAACUGGCGGGAUAGAGAGCAGGAGAGGGCGGUGGAACUCCAUGUGUAGCGGUAAAAUGCGUAGAUAUAUGGAAGAACACAAGUGGCGAAGGCGGCCGCCUGGCCCGUUACUGACGCUGAGGCACGAAAGCGUGGGGAGCAAAUAGGAUUAGAUACCCCUGUAGUC